rfam:Desulfobacca sp. 4484_104 ex4484_104_scaffold_3659, whole genome shotgun sequence.
AUGUCGGAUGCCAAGGUCAAUGAUGCGCAAGCGGGGUAUGAAUCCGCCCUUACCAGCCUGAUGGUGGCUUUGGCCGGAGGCAAUCUGAUCCAUGAUGCGG